rnacentral:rRNA from 1 species
GAUGAACGCUGACAGGAUGCUUAACACAUGCAAGUCAACUUAAACUUCGGUUUGGGUGGCGGACGGGUGAGUAACGCGUAAAGAACUUGCCUCACAGAUAGGGACAACAUUUGGAAACGAAUGCUAAUACCUGAUAUUAUGAUUAUAUGGCAUCGUAUAAUUAUGAAAGCUAUAUGCGCUGUGAGAGAGCUUUGCGUCCCAUUAGCUAGUUGGAGAGGUAACGGCUCACCAAGGCGAUGAUGGGUAGCCGGCCUGAGAGGGUGAUCGGCCACAAGGGGACUGAGACACGGCCCUUACUCCUACGGGAGGCAGCAGUGGGGAAUAUUGGACAAUGGACCAAGAGUCUGAUCCAGCAAUUCUGUGUGCACGAUGAAGUUUUUCGGAAUGUAAAGUGCUUUCAGUUGGGAAGAAAAAAAUGACGGUACCACCAGAAGAAGUGACGGCUAAAUACGUG